ensembl:snRNA U6 U6 spliceosomal RNA
UUGCUUUGGCAACAGAUACGCUAAAAUUAGAAUGAUAGAGAGAAGAUUAGCAUUGUCCCUGCAAUAAAGAUGAAACACAAAUUCAUGAAUUUUAAAAAUGGUGU